AGCAGCCGCGGUAAUUCCAGCUCCAAUAGCGUAUAUUAAAGUUGCUGCAGUUAAAAAGCUCGUAGUUGAAUUUCGGGACUAAUAUGUCGGUCGUGCCUCGGUACGUACUGGCUUAUUGGUUUCUCCUUUCUGAAGAACCAUGAUGUCAUUUAUUUGGUGUCGUGGGAAAUCAGGACCGUUACUUUGAAAAAAUUAGAGUGUUUAAAGCAGGCUCACGCUUGAAUACAUUAGCAUGGAAUAAUGAAAUAGGACGUUUGAUUCUAUUUUGUUGGUUUCUAGGAUCGACGUAAUGAUUAAUAGGGAUAGUUGGGGGCAUUAGUAUUCAAUUGUCAGAGGUGAAAUUCUUGGAUUUAUUGAAGACUAACUACUGCGAAAGCAUUUGCCAAGGAUGUUUUCAUUAAUCAAGAACGAAAGUUAGGGGAUCGAAGACGAUCAGAUACCGUCGUAGUCUUAACCAUAAACUAUGCCGACUAGGGAUCGGAUGAUGUUAAUUUUUAAUGACUCAUUCGGCGCCUUACGG
rnacentral:rRNA from 1 species